AGCAGCCGCGGUAAUUCCAGCUCCAAUAGCGUAUAUUAAAGUUGUUGCAGUUAAAAAGCUCGUAGUUGAAUUUCGGGAUCAGUUGGUCGGUCGUGCCUCGGUACGUACUGGUCAAAUUGAUUCCUACCUUCUGACGAACCACGAUGUCAUUAAUUUGGUGUCGUGGGAAAUCAGGACUGUUACUUUGAAAAAAUUAGAGUGUUUAAAGCAGGCUCGCGCUUGAAUACAUUAGCAUGGAAUAAUGAAAUAGGACGUUUGAUUCUAUUUUGUUGGUUUCUAGGAUCGACGUAAUGAUUAAUAGGGAUAGUUGGGGGCAUUAGUAUUCAAUUGUCAGAGGUGAAAUUCUUGGAUUUAUUGAAGACUAACUACUGCGAAAGCAUUUGCCAAGGAUGUUUUCAUUAAUCAAGAACGAAAGUUAGGGGAUCGAAGACGAUCAGAUACCGUCGUAGUCUUAACCAUAAACUAUGCCGACUAGGGAUCGGGAUGAUGUUAAUUUUUUAAUGACUCAUUCGGCGCCUUA
rnacentral:misc_RNA from 1 species